rnacentral:rRNA from 1 species
AUUGAACGCUGGCGGCAGGCCUAACACAUGCAAGUCGAACGGUAACAGGAAACAGCUUGCUGUUUCGCUGACGAGUGGCGGACGGGUGAGUAAUGUCUGGGAAACUGCCUGAUGGAGGGGGAUAACUACUGGAAACGGUAGCUAAUACCGCAUAACGUCGCAAGACCAAAGAGGGGGACCCUCGGGCCUCUUGCCAUCGGAUGUGCCCAGAUGGGAUUAGCUUGUUGGUGGGGUAACGGCUCACCAAGGCGACGAUCCCUAGCUGGUCUGAGAGGAUGACCAGCCACACUGGAACUGAGACACGGUCCAGACUCCUACGGAAGGCAGCAGUGGGGAAUAUUGCACAAUGGGCGCAAGCCUGAUGCAGCCAUGCCGCGUGUAUGAAGAAGGCCUUCGGGUUGUAAAGUACUUUCAGCGGGGAGGAAGGGAGUAAAGUUAAUACCUUUGCUCAUUGACGUUACCCGCAGAAGAAGCACCGGCUAACUCCGUG